rnacentral:lncRNA from 1 species
AGAAUUCAAACGCAGUUUCAAGCACUCUCAGAAAAACAAUCUUUAUCUGCUUAUGACUGUGACUUAUUUUGACUCUGCUAGGAAAUUCUCAGGGUGGAAAUUUCCUGAGCUGACAGCAGGUCAUGCUGAAUUGAAGCCAUCGCCCUUGGGGGAAGGCAGGAGUUAAAGAAUGUAACUGGAUUUAUUUCUUAUUAGUUAUAUAUCCAAGAAAGCAUCGAGGACUGGCUUUCUUAUUUCUGAGUUUUAGAGACAGUGGAUCAGUUUUUCCACUCAGUCUCUCUUAGCAGGAUAAGACCAGAUACCCAACGUGAAGCUCCGACUUACUGCAUAUUUUCCAGUCUUCUUUUUACAACAGAGGAGCUUUAUCUUUUCCUUUUCAUUGUUUAUUUUUUCCAAGCUCAUAUUGUCUUUUCCAUGGCAUGAUGUCAGGAUGGUGAAGCCUCUGGAAAGGCAGUUAAAUGACGUUAGGGAUCCUCGCCUAUGUAGCUGCUCCUACAGAAGCCACAGCUUGGCUUAUGAAAAUCCAUGCAGCCUCAGCUUGCAACAGCAGCAUCUUCUCAUCAGGUUUAAACCAAAACAUUAAACCAAUUCUGGGGACCACUAUAUAAAGCCUUGCACAGAGAGAUACAAAGAAGCCUAGGGCAAACCGGGUGUCUCCUUCAUGGAAAGCGGCUCAGAAACAGCAGCAGCAGCAGAAGCACUGUGAAGACAGCUAAUGCUGAGAGUAGAGAAUUCCUUUUUUUGUUACACGCAAGGUGCAUUUACAAAAAUUGAUUGUCUUCAUAUGAACUUGCAAACGAACUAUUGAGAAUGCAAAAUUAAAACAUUGAUCAUAUUCAAAGCAAGAUUAAACAGAAAUACUUAGCAAUAACUUUCAAAAGAAUUUUAAAAAGCAGCAACAUGACAAUAAGAGACAUAGAAUAAGAUUUGAAUUAAAGAAAGGCUUUUUGUGAAUAGGAUAAUUUCUAAAAUCAUUGGUUAGUAGAAUGCUAUCCAAGCAAAAUCUCGUAGCACUCUAUUUCCACUGAAUAAAUGAAUAUUCUUUGUUGAACUUAUCACUGUGAUUUUGACUAAGAUAGCCUUAACAAGAGAUUGAUUACAAGAGAAAAGGAACAGCAUUUAGUUAAUGUAAUGUGGGAUGCCCCACUCGCCAGCAAGUGAGACGCCAUAGCAGGAUCCUUCUGCAACAAGUUUAUUGGGAGAGCAUGGACUGUGUAGGCGAAAGACCCCGAGCCCCAGAAAUGGGGCUGCUUAUAUAGGCCUAGGAGUGAUGUGUCCAUACCUGAUUGGUUAUGCUACCAGCACCUCAUUAAUAUGCGUCGGGCCAAGCAGUGACUCGGCAAAAAACUCUUAUGCACAUGAGCACAUUGGUUGUUUACCCAAAUUCGUGGGCAUCGGCUUAAAGAAACCAGCGCCAUCUUGUAAUGGCGUUUGCAGCUUCCCACAUCUCCCCCUUUUUAUUUUAAUAAAAUGAUGCUGGACUAGGCUUGUGCAAUUAUGUCCAUCUGCCACGGCUCCUGUUUUAGGUCGUUCCUCUAUGUCACAGCCUUACCCAUCAUAGGGUAACCCUAUCGCCACCAGGCCCCGUGUCUUAGGUUGGUCUGUUGUAAGUUUACACAUGAUGGGAACUAGCCUUAUCUGACAUCAAUGGGAGGGGAAGGGAGCUUGAUGCCCCAGCAUAAGGGGAUGUUCGAGGGGUGAGAAGGGAGUGGAUGAAAGGGUUAACCGAGAAUAUCAUUUGAAAUGUAAACAAAUAAAAUGAUUAAUAAAAAAAGGAAAAAGG